GAUGAAGAACGCAGCGAAAUGCGAUAAGUAAUGUGAAUUGCAGAAUUCAGUGAAUCAUCGAAUCUUUGAACGCACAUUGCGCCCCUUGGUAUUCCGAGGGGCAUGCCUGUUCGAGCGUCAUUACACCACUCAAGCACUGCUUGGUAUUGGGCAUCGUCCGUCGAAAGGCGGGCGUGCCUCGAAGACCUCGGCGGGGUUUCUCCAACUUCGGGCGUAGUAGAGUUAAAUCGAACGUCUUAUAAGCUUGGUGGGACUCCAUUGCCGUUAAACCUUUUAUUUUCUAGGUUGACCUCGGAUCAGGUAGGGAUACCCGCUGAACUUAAGCAUAUCAAUAAGCGGAGGA
rnacentral:misc_RNA from 1 species